AGUUUCUGGUUUCGGUUCUGGCCGGGUGCUUCCUAAUCUGGGAUGGUCUCUUAUCGCUCUUUAUUAGUUGAUUAGAUGGCCGUGCCUGCGGAAAAUGCAGACGGGUUCGCAGUUGAGGCACUCGACACAGUUGGACCCAUAGCAUUUGAAAAUCCGGUCGGCACACCUAUUGGGAGCACGGAAUACGGGGGGAAGGCUUUAACUGAUUCCGCCUGAUUCCAAGGCUGAUUUAUCAAGGCGGGCGGGAACAGGCACGGCCAGCUUUUCGGGGUGGAAGACGCUACUCGGCGACGUUACGUUGGUCCCACAGCGCGAUACCGACACAAGGAACUGGGCGCACCAAAAAACACUUCACUAGAAAACCAAAGACAGGCACCCAAAUCGAAUCGAUUCGAAUCACAAUCUAUAACGGAAUAACACUUUACUUUGAGUUCGUUUUGCAGUGGUAGUACUCGGCAGCAGACUAGGAAUUUUGUGUGGAAAUCGCUCUGGCCUGACCCAAAAAGCGAACCAGACGAGGAGGCACAACCCAAAGCGAAAUGCGAACUGAGACCCGCUGCUGCUGCCCGCUGGCAAAGAGCGAGAGAACCCCGAAACGGCACGGCAGCCGUGCGAAGAGAGCCAAAGAGAGCGGCACUGAGCACUGAGCACUGAGCACUGAGCGCUGUGUAUCUGUAUCUGGAGGAUGCGGUGUGGCUGGCAAGCGGCAAGAAGCAGACCGCCGGAGAAUGGCAAGGCGGGCAAGAAGAAGCACCAGCUGUCGCAGGGGUACUCACGCUCGAUUUUUUGGGCUUCACUCGGUCUCGAUUUGUUUCGAGCCACCCCUUAACUACGCAACACAUUCGCAGAGGACUACCAACACACCUACACAGCGUAGCGAAGGGAACGCGGGUCAAGGUGUUCAGUUCGGUUGGGUCCUUUUAUGCAAGGAAAUGAACCGGAAAUUAUGUUGCACACACCGUCGAACGAAAACAACAGUUUUUUGAACUUGGCUCAUCGAGCGGCCGACAAUCCAAUCCAUUCGAGGCGAGUUGGAUAGGUGUGAAUCGGUCUGCAAAAUAAUUUUUACUAUUAUUUAUUUUUUUGCAGAACAAAUGAAGAUAUUUUCUGUAUUAAAAAUAAACCAGAAAACCUAUGUACAC
ensembl:ncRNA asRNA:CR43629 antisense RNA:CR43629